rnacentral:rRNA from 1 species
GACGAGCCACACAAACGUUAUUCGGAAUUACUGGGCUUAAAGGGUGCGUAGGCUGUGCAGAAAGUUGGGUGUGAAAUACCUCGGCUUAACCGAGGAAUUGCGCCCAAAACUACUGUGCUCGAGGAAGAUAGAGGUGAGCGGAACUUAGGGUGGAGCGGUGAAAUGCGUUGAUAUCCUAAGGAACACCGGUGGCGAAAGCGGCUCACUGGAUCUUAUCUGACGCUGAGGCACGAAAGCCAGGGUAGCAAACGGG